ACGCCCAGCGGGCGGAAUUUCUUCUCUGAGUUGCACAAGCAAAAACAAAUGAAUCAAAACUUUCAACAACGGAUCUCUUGGUUCUGGCAUCGAUGAAGAACGCAGCGAAAUGCGAUAAGUAAUGUGAAUUGCAGAAUUCAGUGAAUC
rnacentral:rRNA from 1 species